UCUCUUCUACCUCCGUCUCUCCUCCUUGCGGGUUGAUGGCCAGGAACUCCGACAAGAGGAGGAUGCUGAAACGGUCACUAUGAUGUUGGCUCGACUCACUCAGACCACGCCGGAGGGAGCCAUCUGCGGCGGCGGUUCUGAUUGAGCCGUGCCAAUAUCUUAGUGCUCUUUCAUGCACGCAUGUGUUCGUCACUUCGUCCCUUGUCCGCGCGCGGUCGCCAUACCUAGCUUAGCUCCUCCGCCAUGGCGCCGGCCGGCGUACACGCGCCAUCACCCACGUUGCAGGUAUGGAGGUAUCGGUCCGUUCAGUGCAUGCAUGCAUCGUGCAGCAUCCAUGCAAUGCGAAGGGGUUUUAUCAUCGGAUCUUGUGGCUCCUCCAGGCAGGCUAACUACCAGGAAGGGUUGGACUAGGGCACAGAGAAAUGCACAAGGUGCAUCAAAGCUUCCAACGCUUGUGCAUGCAUGAUCUGUCCACUGGAGGGCAAGGAGGUGGAGUAUCCUGAACUGAAGAUGCCAGCCCAGAGAAGUUCAGUUUCGAGGCCCUCCCUUCAGAUGGUUGCAGUUUGAACGUACGUGGAGAUGUAGUGUGUGUGUGUGUGUGUGAGAGAGAGAGAGACAUGGUUACAUGCGUACGUACAUGCUCCAGUGUUUUGUACACGCACAUUUUGUCUUUCAAAGAAGAUGAUACUAGUA